CUGAUGGACACAGGAGGUGGCAGAUGUAGGUGUUAUUUACAUCUGUAAAGUGAAAGGAAAUUUCUUCGAGAAAAAAAUGUAGAAAAGGAGGAAACAAGGCCACAAUCUGGAGCAUAUCAAAAAGUAGAGGAGUUUACAAGAAGAGGAGCCAGGAAACAACUCAAAGAAUAGGAUCUAUCCUGGAAGGAAGAUCACCAGAAGAAGAUGGUUUCAUGGAAUCCACAAGAUCUCAAGAGACCGAUAGUGGCCAGCACGUUCAAUGCUACUAAGAGGGCAAGCCAGGUCAGAGGGAUGAUAAUUGGAUUUGACAUCAUGUAAGUUACUAAAGAGCAUGAAAAAGAAAAAAAGCAUAUUGGAGGACAGAAGGCCAUGCAAGACAUCGGAGGUGGAGAUGAGGAAGUGGUGACAACCUGUUCAGACAACUUACCAGAAAAGUUUUGCUGUGAAAGGCAGCAGUUGGGGUCUCGCUGUGAUGCCCAAGCUGGUCUUGAACUCCUGCCUUCAAAGUGCAGCCUCCCA
rnacentral:lncRNA from 1 species